GACGAACGCUGGCGGCAUGCUUAACACAUGCAAGUCGAACGGAAAGGCCCUGCUUUUGUGGGGUGCUCUAGUGGCGACCGGGUGAGUAACACGUGAGUUCCCAGCCCUUGACUUUGGGAUAACUUCAGACAACUGGGUCUAAUACCGGCUAGGAGUUCCUGCUGUAUGGUGGGGGUUGGAUAGUUUCGCCGGUUGGGGAGGGACUCGCGGCUUAUCAGCUCGUUGGUGGGGUAGUGGCUUACCAAGGCUUGGACGGGUAGCCGGCCUGGGAGGGUGACCGGCCACAUUGGGACUGAGAUACGGCCCAGACUCCUACGGGAGGCAGCAGUGGGGAAUAUUGCACAAUGGGCGGAAGCCUGAUGCAGCAACGCCGCGUGCGGGAUGACGGCCUUCGGGUUGUAAACCGCUUUCGCCUGUGACGAAGCGUGAGUGACGGUAAUGGGUAAAGAAGCACCGGCUAACUACGUG
rnacentral:rRNA from 1 species